UAAUUCCUUGAUUUUGCAAUACCACCUAGGGAUAGGGGUAGGACGAUCAAUUGCGUUUAACUUCUGCUCUAUAAUGCUGUAUUAAUUGCUAGGGGAGGCUAGGGAUANCAAGCCANUAAUUAGUAUUAGGCUCUUUUCGNCGAGGGAUCGGGUUAAGGGUAGGCUAAGAAAGUUGCAUGACAAUUAAUUAAUCAANCUAAUAAUUCAAGAGGAGUAAAUAAGAGAGAGCGGAUAAGAUGAAAUUGUAAACCCCCAACAACUCCAUUCAUCCAUUGCUUUCCUCUCGUUAAUUGAAUCAACUUCAUUGCAUGUUUAUUUUCUGUUUUGCAUCAACCACAAUUAAUUUUUAUUUUCAAGUCUUACGAUUUUAAUUCACGCGAACGAUAAGGCCUUUCGAGUCCCUUGGGAAAACGAUACUUGGA
rnacentral:lncRNA from 1 species